GCUCGGCCUUCUCCUCUCCCGGGCGGCGCUCUCCCUGUGGCGGGGACCUGGGACGAGGGGGUGGGGUGGGGAGGGGAAGGCAGGAGGGGGCUGCCCUUCCGUUGCCCAUGCUAAAGGUUCCUGUGUAGGAAGCUGGACGCAGCCUGCUGGACUAGUAAUCUUCCUCCUCGCUGGGGCGCGGGGCACUGAAGGGAGGGAGAGACUUUCUCCUCCUUCCUGUUCCCCGGGACAGCUGUGCUCUCCGAAUCCUUCCCUUCUUCCCAGCCCACUUAUUCCCCGCUCGCCAAGGCACGUUUGCACAGGCAUUUUUCCUGCUCUUUUUUCUGGGAGGGCAGCUUGGUAGAAUGGUCGGCGGAGCUGGGCGAGGAGAGGGGUCUUCAGAAGGUUUGCUUUCUUGCUCUUGCUUCUCACUGGCCGCUGGGCUGUCCACUUUCCGCGCCGGGCGACUGGCAACAGGAGGCCAUGGAUUUCCCCCAACGAGCACGAAUCACAAAGGGCCUCAAAACCACAUUAAAAUUUAAGAUUGAUCUGCUCUUCUGCUUCUGAAUGUGAGAGCCUAUACUGGAUCUCUGAAGAAAAUAAAGAUGAGAUGAGGUUCUGAUCCCUUGGACUUCAUGAAGUUACGUGACAGAAAGUAUGAUUGUCUAGCCGAUACUUGACUGUGUGAAACCUUCAUCUACUCCGGAAUCCUGAGGCACAGACUCAGAGGCCCUCUGACUCACGAUUAGGGUUGUCAGGGUGAUGCAACAGCAAGACCAUAGCCUUUGGUGUCGGAAUACCAAGUUUUGAAGCUCAGUUUCCCCACUCACUAAUUUUCAGUGAGCACAUACAUAAUUUGAAAUCUGAAAAUGGACAAUAAUGCCUACCUACUUCAAAAUUUGGUUUGAGAAUCAAGUGAAAUAUUAAUAUAUAUGUAAGCAUUUUAUGAACAAGGAAGCAAGUUAUAAAUGCAUUAUCUUGUUAAUUUAGUCAUUUCACUAGGGGUGGGUCCAAUGUGGGCCUCCUUUGAGGUAGACUGUAUUUCAUGAAUUUAUAAUAAAAUUCUAAAGUUUAACAAAGACA
rnacentral:lncRNA from 1 species